rnacentral:snoRNA from 1 species
AGCACGUGUUCAGUUUUUGUCUGUCACUGUAGACAAAAACCUGGAACCUAGUGCUUAGAAAAACCCUUCUUUUGCAACCCACAGCUGAUGAACAUAUUGGUUGUGUUACUUAUAUGAAGGGACAAC